GGUAGAGAAUACCAAGGCGCUUGAGAGAACUCGGGUGAAGGAACUAGGCAAAAUGGUGCCGUAACUUCGGGAGAAGGCACGCUGACACGUAGGUGAAGUGAUUUACUCAUGGAGCUGAAGUCAGUCGAAGAUACCAGCUGGCUGCAACUGUUUAUUAAAAACACAGCACUGUGCAAACACGAAAGUGGACGUAUACGGUGUGACGCCUGCCCGGUGCCGGAAGGUUAAUUGAUGGGGUCAGCGUAAGCGAAGCUCCUGAUCGAAGCCCCGGUAAACGGCGGCCGUAACUAUAACGGUCCUAAGGUAGCGAAAUUCCUUGUCGGGUAAGUUCCGACCUGCACGAAUGGCGUAAUGAUGGCCAGGCUGUCUCCACCCGAGACUCAGUGAAAUUGAACUCGCUGUGAAGAUGCAGUGUACCCGCGGCAAGACGGAAAGACCCCGUGAACCUUUACUAUAGCUUGACACUGAACAUUGAGCCUUGAUGUGUAGGAUAGGUGGGAGGCUUUGAAGUGUGGACGCCAGUCUGCAUGGAGCCGACCUUGAAAUACCACCCUUUAAUGUUUGAUGUUCUAACGUGGACCCGUAAUCCGGGUUGCGGACAGUGUCUGGUGGGUAGUUUGACUGGGGCGGUCUCCUCCUAAAGAGUAACGGAGGAGCACGAAGGUUGGCUAAUCCUGGUCGGACAUCAGGAGGUUAGUGCAAUGGCAUAAGCCAGCUUGACUGCGAGCGUGACGGCGCGAGCAGGUGCGAAAGCAGGUCAUAGUGAUCCGGUGGUUCUGAAUGGAAGGGCCAUCGCUCAACGGAUAAAAGGUACUCCGGGGAUAACAGGCUGAUACCGCCCAAGAGUUCAUAUCGACGGCGGUGUUUGGCACCUCGAUGUCGGCUCAUCACAUCCUGGGGCUGAAGUAGGUCCCAAGGGUAUGGCUGUUCGCCAUUUAAAGUGGUACGCGAGCUGGGUUUAGAACGUCGUGAGACAGUUCGGUCCCUAUCUGCCGUGGGCGCUGGAGAACUGAGGGGGGCUGCUCCUAGUACGAGAGGACCGGAGUGGACGCAUCACUGGUGUUCGGGUUGUCAUGCCAAUGGCACUGCCCGGUAGCUAAAUGCGGAAGAGAUAAGUGCUGAAAGCAUCUAAGCACGAAACUUGCCCCGAGAUGAGUUCUCCCUGAGACUUAGAGUCUCCUGAAGGAACGUUGAAGACGACGACGUUGAUAGGCCGGGUGUGUAAGCGCAGCGAUGCGUUGAGCUAACCGGUACUAAUGAACCGUGAGGCUUAACCUU
rnacentral:rRNA from 1 species